GGGGAUUUGGCUCAGUGGCAGAGCACUUGCCUAGGAAGCACAAGGCCCUGGGUUCGGUCCCCAGCUCUG
rnacentral:tRNA from 1 species